rnacentral:rRNA from 1 species
CCUACGGGUGGCAGCAGUGAGGAAUAUUGGUCAAUGGCCGUAAGGCUGAACCAGCCAAGUAGCGUGAGGGAAGACUGCCCUAUGGGUUGUAAACCUCUUUUAUGCGGGGAUAAAGGUGUCCACGUGUGGAUGUUUGCAGGUACCGCAUGAAUAAGGACCGGCUAAUUCCGUGCCAGCAGCCGCGGUAAUACGGGAGGUUCGGGCGUUAUGCGGGUUUUAUGGGUUUAAAGGGAGCGUAGGCCGGUCUUUAAGCGUGCCGGUAAAUUUUGUGGGUCAACCAUUGGAGUGCGGCGCGAACUGGAGACCUUGAGUGGGCGGAAGGCAUGCGGAAUUCGUGGUGUAGCGGUGAAAUGCUUAGAUAUCACGAAGAACCCCGAUUGCGAAGGCAGCAUGCCGCAGCGUUACUGACGCUGAGGCUCGAAAGCGCGGGUAUCGAACAGGAUUAGAUACCCGAGUAGUC